rnacentral:rRNA from 1 species
AACGAACGCUGGCGGCAUGCCUAACACAUGCAAGUCGAACGGGAUCCAGGCUUCGGCCUGGUGAGAGUGGCGGACGGGUGAGUAACACGUGGGAACCUGCCUUUUGGUUCGGGAUAACCGCGGGAAACUGCGGCUAAUACCGGAUGCUCCCGAGAGGGGAAAGAUUUAUCGCCAGAAGAGGGGCCCGCGUCCGAUUAGGUAGUUGGUGAGGUAAUGGCUCACCAAGCCGACGAUCGGUAGCUGGUCUGAGAGGAUGAUCAGCCACACUGGGACUGAGAUACGGCCCAGACUCCUACGGGAGGCAGCAGUGGGGAAUAUUGGACAAUGGGGGCAACCCUGAUCCAGCAAUGCCGCGUGAGUGAUGAAGGCCUUAGGGUUGUAAAGCUCUUUUGCCAGGGAAGAUGAUGACUGUACCUGGAGAAUAAGCCCCGGCUAACUUCGUGCCAGCAGCCGCGGU